rnacentral:rRNA from 1 species
GACGAACGCUGGCGGCGUGCCUAAUACAUGCAAGUCGAACGAAGGGGGGACGGGUGAGUAACACGUGGGUAACCUCCCAUCAGAGGGGAUAACACUUGGAAACAGGUGCUAAACCGAUACUGAUGGAUGGACCAGCGGUGCAUUAGCUAGGUGGUGGUGUAACGGCUCACCAAGGCCAAGAUGCCUAGCCGACCUGCGAUGGGGAUCGGCCACACUGGGACUGAGACACGGCCCAGACUCCUACGGGAGGCAGCAUUAGGGAAUCUUCGGCAAUGGACGAAAGUCUGACCGAGCAACGCCGCGUGAGUGAAGAAGGUUUUCGGAUCGUAAAACUCUGUUGUUAGAGAAGCGGUAUCUAACCAGAAAGCCACGGCUAACUACGUGCCAGCAGCCGCGGUAAUUC